UACGUAGGGGGCAAGCGUUGUCCGGAUUUAUUGGGCGUAAAGAGCGUGUAGGCGGUCCGAUAAGUCCGCUCUGAAAGCCCGGGGCUCAACCCCGGGAGGCGGGCGGAUACUGUCGGGCUAGAGUCCGGAAGAGGCAAGUGGAAUUCCUGGUGUAGCGGUGAAAUGCGCAGAUAUCAGGAGGAACACCGAUGGCGAAGGCAGCUUGCUGGGACGGUACUGACGCUGAGGCACGAAAGCGUGGGGAGCAAACAGG
rnacentral:rRNA from 1 species